rnacentral:rRNA from 1 species
UACGUAGGGGGCAAGCGUUGUUCGGAAUUACUGGGCGUAAGGGGCGCGUAGGCGGCACGGCAAGUCAGGAGUGAAAGCCCGGGGCUCAACCCCGGAAUGUCUUUUGAAACUGCCGAGCUAGAGUGCGGAAGAGGCAACUGGAAUUCCCAGUGUAGCGGUGAAAUGCGUAGAUAUUGGGAAGAACACCUGAGGCGAAGGCGGGUUGCUGGGCCGACACUGACGCUGAUGCGCGAAAGCCAGGGGAGCGAACGGG